rnacentral:rRNA from 1 species
UACGUAGGGUACGAGCGUUAUCCGGAAUUAUUGGGCGUAAAGAGCUCGUAGGCGGUUUGUCGCGUCUGUCGUGAAAGUCCGGGGCUUAACCCCGGAUCUGCGGUGGGGUACGGGCAGACUAGAGUGCAGUAGGGGGAGACUGGAAUUCCGUGGUGUAGCGGUGGAAUGCGCAGAUAUCAGGAGGAACACCGAUGGCGGAAGGCAGGUCUCUGGGCUGUAACUGACGCUGAGGAGCGAAAGCUGGGGAGCGAACAGG